UUGAGUGUCGUGUGCAGCUUGUGCACACGGCCCCCCACGCUGAGGUCCGCGCGCCGCCAUGUUGCACCAGCACCUGUGCUCUGAAGGGACGCGUGUGAGGCCUCUGCACGUGGGAGCCUGUGAGCCAGUGACACCAGACGAAGCACGAAGGAAAAGAACAAGGAAAGAGAUCUCCACGUUAACAGAUUCUUAACUGGCUGGUGUGAAGAGUCAUUCCAAGUGUCACAGUAUUUCCCCCACUCAAACCAGAAGAAGUAGAAAGAAACGGUGGUCUAUUAAUAAAGAAAAGACCUGUAAUUUAAGUACAAGAUAGAGGUGGAAGGAAAUGAGCGUUUCUCUUUUGAAUUAGAUACAGGCCACUGUUCCAGACAAAAAUCAGAAAAUACUUCCUUAUCUUCACCAGCUGAAGAGGCUGAUGCUUCCAGAAAGGACAUAGUCCCCCCACAUGAAACAACCCCCACCUCACCUCCUUUAGUGCUUCCCUUAACUAAUGAAGCAAAAGGAGAUGAAGUAAGUUGUGUCUGGUAGGAAAUAGCCUGAUGCACAAUGUUCUUUAAAUUAAAGCAAAUGCAGAUGAGAAGCUAGUGGUAGUUUAAAAUGAAUGGGGCAUUCUCAUUUUUUUCAGUUGUUUGUUUGCUUUGGAUGGAGACUGUGCUUUGAGGAAUUGUACAUUUUUGUCCAUAUAUUAGAAAAUCUCAGGCUUUCCUCUCUGGAAGCCUUUGUGGUCCUAUUGUCUGAGGAAUCUAUAAAGAGUGAUUCGUCUCUUAUAAAUGGAGCUGGAAUGUGAGAUAUUCUUGUUCUUUUCUUGCCAGGGGCCACUUGCUUUUAUUCCUGAGUUGAUGCAUCAGUGACCAGGUUUAUUGCUCCCAGAAUCCAUGUUAAAACACACAAGCCACAGAGAUUUUCUCAGCUGUGCUAGGAACUCAUUCUGGGCUUAUCUCAACUCUGGUCAAAUAGUUCAAAUAUGAAU